GAAUGCUGACAUAAGUAACGAUAAAGCGGGUGAAAAGCCCGCUCGCCGGAAGACCAAGGGUUCCUGUCCAACGUUAAUCGGGGCAGGGUGAGUCGACCCCUAAGGCGAGGCCGAAAGGCGUAGUCGAUGGGAAACGGGUUAAUAUUCCCGUACUUGGUGUUACUGCGAAGGGGGGACGGAGAAGGCUAUGUUGGCCGGGCGACGGUUGUCCCGGUUUAAGCGUGUAGGUGUGUGUUCCAGGUAAAUCCGGUUCACUUUAACACUGAGGCGUGACGACGAGGCACUACGGUGCUGAAGCAACAAAUGCCCUGCUUCCAGGAAAAGCCUCUAAGCAUCAGGUAACAUCAAAUCGUACCCCAAACCGACACAGGUGGUCAGGUAGAGAAUACCAAGGCGCUUGAGAGAACUCGGGUGAAGGAACUAGGCAAAAUGGUGCCGUAACUUCGGGAGAAGGCACGCUGACACGUAGGUGAAGUGAUUUACUCAUGGAGCUGAAGUCAGUCGAAGAUACCAGCUGGCUGCAACUGUUUAUUAAAAACACAGCACUGUGCAAACACGAAAGUGGACGUAUACGGUGUGACGCCUGCCCGGUGCCGGAAGGUUAAUUGAUGGGGUCAGCGCAAGCGAAGCUCCUGAUCGAAGCCCCGGUAAACGGCGGCCGUAACUAUAACGGUCCUAAGGUAGCGAAAUUCCUUGUCGGGUAAGUUCCGACCUGCACGAAUGGCGUAAUGAUGGCCAGGCUGUCUCCACCCGAGACUCAGUGAAAUUGAACUCGCUGUGAAGAUGCAGUGUACCCGCGGCAAGACGGAAAGACCCCGUGAACCUUUACUAUAGCUUGACACUGAACAUUGAGCCUUGAUGUGUAGGAUAGGUGGGAGGCUUUGAAGUGUGGACGCCAGUCUGCAUGGAGCCGACCUUGAAAUACCACCCUUUAAUGUUUGAUGUUCUAACGUGGACCCGUUACCCGGGUUGCGGACAGUGUCUGGUGGGUAGUUUGACUGGGGCGGUCUCCUCCUAAAGAGUAACGGAGGAGCACGAAGGUUGGCUAAUCCUGGUCGGACAUCAGGAGGUUAGUGCAAUGGCAUAAGCCAGCUUGACUGCGAGCGUGACGGCGCGAGCAGGUGCGAAAGCAGGUCAUAGUGAUCCGGUGGUUCUGAAUGGAAGGGCCAUCGCUCAACGGAUAAAAGGUACUCCGGGGAUAACAGGCUGAUACCGCCCAAGAGUUCAUAUCGACGGCGGUGUUUGGCACCUCGAUGUCGGCUCAUCACAUCCUGGGGCUGAAGUAGGUCCCAAGGGUAUGGCUGUUCGCCAUUUAAAGUGGUACGCGAGCUGGGUUUAGAACGUCGUGAGACAGUUCGGUCCCUAUCUGCCGUGGGCGCUGGAGAACUG
rnacentral:rRNA from 1 species